ACCCGCUGAACUUAAGCAUAUCAAUAAGCGGAGGAAAAGAAACCAACAGGGAUUGCCCUAGUAACGGCGAGUGAAGCGGCAACAGCUCAAAUUUGAAAUCUGGCCCUCGGGUCCGAAUUGUAAUUUGUAGAGGAUGCUUUUGGUGAGGUACCUUCCGAGUUCCCUGGAACGGGACGCCAUAGAGGGUGAGAGCCCCGUCUGGUUGGAUACCGAUCCUCUGUAAAGCUCCUUCGACGAGUCGAGUAGUUUGGGAAUGCUGCUCUAAAUGGGAGGUAUAUGUCUUCUAAAGCUAAAUAUUGGCCAGAGACCGAUAGCGCACAAGUAGAGUGAUCGAAAGAUGAAAAGCACUUUGAAAAGAGAGUUAAAAAGUACGUGAAAUUGUUGAAAGGGAAGCGCUCAUGACCAGACUUGGGCUUGGUUGAUCAUCCAGGGUUCUCCCUGGUGCACUCUUCCAGCCCAGGCCAGCAUCAGUUCGCUGUGGGGGAUAAAGGCUUUGGGAAUGUGGCUCCUCCGGGAGUGUUAUAGCCCAUUGUGUAAUACCCUGUGGUGGACUGAGGUUCGCGCAUCUGCAAGGAUGCUGGCGUAAUGGUCAUCAGCGACCCGUCUUGAAACACGGACCAAGGAGUCGUCUUCGUAUGCGAGUGUUCGGGUGUUAAACCCCUACGCGUAAUGAAAGUGAACGCAGGUGAGAGCUUCGGCGCAUCAUCGACCGAUCCUGAUGUUCUCGGAUGGAUUUGAGUAAGAGCAUACGGGGCCGGACCCGAAAGAAGGUGAACUAUGCCUGUAUAGGGUGAAGCCAGAGGAAACUCUGGUGGAGGCUCGCAGCGGUUCUGACGUGCAAAUCGAUCGUCAAAUAUGGGCAUGGGGGCGAAAGACUAAUCGAACCUUCUAGUAGCUGGUUUCCGCCGAAGUUUCCCUCAGGA
rnacentral:rRNA from 1 species